GCAUUAGUGGGGUAGUGGUAACCUGGGUCGUUGCCAUGCUGUGAGCUGAUGCCAGUCGACUCGACCCGCCGGGAGUUCGAUUCUCUCCUAAUGCA